rnacentral:rRNA from 1 species
GACGAACCGUGCGAACGUUAUUCGGAAUCACUGGGCUUAAAGCGCGUGUAGGCGGAUGGGAACGUCGGUAGUUGAAAGCCCCCGGCUCAACCGGGGAAGUGGUGCCGAAACGACCCGUCUGGAGGGACGUAGGGGGACCUGGAACUUCCGGUGGAGCGGUGAAAUGCGUUGAGAUGCGGAGGAACACCGAUGGCGAAGGCAGCCCCCUGGGCUAACACUGACGCUCAGGCACGAAAGCGUGGGGAGCAAACAGG